rnacentral:rRNA from 1 species
UACGUAGGCAGCGAGCGUUGUUCGGAGUUACUGGGCGUAAAGGGUGUGUAGGCGAUUGUUUAAGUUUGGUGUGAAAUCUCCCGGCUCAACUGGGAGGGUGCGCCGAAUACUGAAUGACUUGGAGUGCGGGAGAGGAAAGUGGAAUUCCUGGUGUAGCGGUGAAAUGCGUAGAUAUCAGGAGGAACACCGGUGGUGUAGACGGCUUUCUGGACCGUAACUGACGCUGAGACACGAAAGCGUGGGUAGCAAACAGG